GAUUAGGGCCAGCUUAGUUACCACACAGUUGCAUUCUGGGAUGGGGAGAAACAUGCACGCACACACACACACACACACACCUGUGCGCGGAGUAGUAGUGAAACUGGGAAUCUGGUCAAGUCUCUGAUCCCGCUGAAAGUAAUAAAAAUGGCAGCAAAGGCAUUACUGGAGAGUUAUACGUAACAGAAUCAUUUUCAUGUUAGUUUUGACCUGCGUUCAUGGAAAUCUACUCAAGUUAUCCUCUGCAAAUGCUGUCUCCUCUUCAUGUAAAUGUACUCUAUCAGUGGGAAGUGUGUACACACAAGGCAGGGACACAUGGCCUUUAAUAAGCCACUGGGGCUCUAUUUUCCCUAAAGGACAGAAAUGAUCUCAGGUGAUAAAAGUUACUGUUUACCAAUCACCACUAUGUACUAUGGACCGGCUGCUGAGUUAGGUGCUCCCCUUAGAAGUGCUGUAUCUAACUCUCUCGGUCCUGUGAGGCAGGGGCUCUCCAUUUCACAGAUUAGAAGGGUAAAUCAGAAAGGGCCGGUCAUUUGCCUGAGGGUUGCACAGUGAUAAGUGCUGGGAACCAGACUUGGAACGAGGGCCGUACAGGGCACGUAAUCUUGGCCCCAAGCCCAGUCCCCUCAUUUUAAAGGGCUUAGCUGCCUCAAGUUUUAGCUUGUCUUCUGUAUGUGAUUUAGAGACGCGGAGUUUUAAGGUAAGCAAUCUAAAUGUAACCUGAGAGUCCUUUAUUCAACCAGACGGUACAAUACAUUCAAAUCUACCUAAAGAUUUACUUUCUGACUUGAUAGUGGAUUUUUUUUUUCCUGAAAAAUGAUCACUUAUGUCUCUCGCAUUUAACUAUCACACAAAGCACUUCCACAUAAAUCAUUCGCUCAUCUGAGUUCCUUCGGCAGGCGAUGUUCCAUUUUAUGGAGGAAGAAAUGGUGCUUCAGAGAGGCUGGAAUCUUGCUUGGGGUCCUGGGGGCAGAGCCCGGGAGAAAGCACAAGGGCUGUGCUCUUCGGUUGGGUUGCUGAGAUCUCCACCAUCUCAGAUGACUCUGUUCCUCAGUCUCGGGAACAAAAUGCAGGGGAGGCUUCAAACCAUCCAACAGAUCCAGAGGCAGCCGACAGGUCCAGAGACGAUUCAGAACCACAGAAAGGAGGGACAGUGGCAAAUGGACACCAUGAGUGUGGGCUCUGGUGUUGGAUGAUCUGGGUUAAAAUCCUGACUCUGCCAGGGACAAGCUGGUGAGCUGGUGUUUGGCUUUUCUGAGGCUUAGUUUCCUUGUCCAUAAAACUGGACAGCAACAGACCCUACCUCCUUAGGUGACUGUAUACAUGUGUACACACACACACACACACACACACACACACACACACACACAGCAGAAAGCAACAGAUUCUAAACAGGGUCGAAAUAGAGUUUCAGAAUUUGCUUCUGGGCUGCCUGGUGGGCUCCGUGCUUUCCUGAGGAGGGAAGGCAAAGAGACUGCUCUUCCAGGGUAAUGACCUUGAGAACUGGGCUGCACCUCGAAUCAAACCCUCUGUCAGUGCAGAAGAAAAGGCCCCUGGGCCUCGCCCACUGUGUGCUGACGAAAGGUAGUCACAGUGUGCGCUCAGCACGUGUCUGUGUGCUGAUGAAAGGUAGUCACAGUGUGCGCUUAGCACGUGUGUAACAGAGAGGACACGACGCUAGAGCACUGCAGUGGGAGGACGGGGCACCCUCGAUCAGCUUCUGCCCGCACAAAGUGAUUGGGGCCGGGGGCCCUUCUCAUGCACUGAUGAAGGGGUGACUUAGGUUGCGGCCCAGCACAGGCGCUCAUUGACUGGGAAAAGCAGUCUCUUCAUCCACUCUCCUCAGGAAAGCACGGAGCCUGCAGGGCAGCCUAGAAACAAAUUCCAAAACUCUUGUUUUGACUCUGCUCGGAAUCUGUAGCUUUGCGCUUCCAGAGUUUAUGGAAAAUAUAGUCCCACCUGGGGUGACUUUUUAAACAUUUCCUAGUAAGUCGAUGGAAAACAAAUCUAUUCCUGCAUUUUUAGUUCUUGAAAUACCUUCUUGGCUUGGUCUUAAUUUAUUUGGGCUAUUAAUUUUCUGGACAGCAAAAUAAUAAUUAGCAUGGCUGGUGAGCAGAGGGAAACGUCUCACUCGAUUGCACCCAGGCAUUUCUGGGCAACGUCCUUCUUCAGAGUGUGACAGGUGAAGCCGUCUCCCUCCUUCAGCCUGGCUUCAGCACUGACAACAUUCCCACAAGAUGGCACUGCUGGUCCUCUCAGCCCGUGAAGGCUCCGGCCGGCUCGGCCACAGCGAGGAGAAAUGGAACCUGGCCAAGCACUGCGGGCAAGGGCUGCUGGCACCUGGACACGAGGUGCCCCUUCUCCCCAGGAGUGGCUAAUUGUCACAUGAGUCCGACCAAAGGUAUAUAGAACUCAACUCCAGCGCUGCAAACACAAUUCUAAACCCGAGAGAAAAUAACCUGGAACCUAAUUCCUUCUAAAUUUGGUAUAUGACAUUUAUAAAAUGUUUCAAAAGGGCACAGCCAGAGGUGCUCUUCUAGGGGAGAAUACUUGAGUUCGCACUGGUCUAACAGCACCUUCUUUGCAGUGAGGUGGUAGUUUCAUAUGACUGGAAUCAGUGUCUUCAAAUCCCUCAGUGAAGAGGCUGCGACAGCAAUCUGCCCCUUCCUCAGACCUACUGUUUCCAGGACACUGUGAUUUCAGGACAAAACCUCACCCCAACCUGUUCUUCUGGGUCUGGGCCAGGUCUGGGUCUGUGUGGGAAGGAUGCUGUCAUUUGGGGGUUCUGAAAUAUUUCUCUCCAGGUAGCAUUCCACCCACAGAUGGUUGGCUAAUUGUUGAUCCAUAUGUCAAAACUUCACAGAGAUUUUUUUUUAGUUAGGAAAGGCUAAAACCCCAAGUUCUGAGUGUGUCGGGUGAACAGGGCUCAUCAGUAGAUGACGUGUUCCACACUCUGCAUGCAGUGUGAAAGCCACAGACUGGACGUCUAGUUUAAACAGGCGGGGACCUUCAUUUUCCCUCUAGACACAGCUCCAGAAAGCUCCUGUGGGCCCAGCACUCUACCCGUCCCAGACCACUUCAGUGUCUGGCGUGUGGCUCCUCCCUCCCCUCCUCCUGCUCUUCCUUAUUCUACCUCUUUCCUCGGAUGCAAAGAAGGGGAAAUAAUGGCAGGAAGUGUUAAUUACCCUUCUUAUAUCUUAUGGAUUUAAUACGUACUGAUGGUCCUGCACCACUGAGACUUUCAAAAUUUAUCACACAUACAGGAGCGACCACAUCUGAGGGGCACGGCCCAGGCACCGCUUCCUGACAGUGAGGGAGGGAGUAGGGACUUGGGGGGAGGCCUCGGCCUGGUGUAGAAAUCCCAGACAUUCUGCUGCCAUCUCUACAGGACUCAGAGGCGAUUCAGAACCACAGACAAAAGCAGUGUCAUGGCACGUUUGAGGGCUUGGGCUUAGAAAACAGAUGGUUCUGGGGUCAAAUCUCAGUUCAGAUGAGCAGCCUCUCAAAGCCUCAGUGUCCAUCUGUAAGAUGGGAAUGAUUCCUACUUUGUAGAAUAGGGAGUUUAAAUAAAAUAGUGUAUUCACUGUGUUUGGAAUAGACAUCCACUGACAAGCUCAUGUUUAGUGGCGAUAAGUAAUGAAUUAGUUUCCUAUGUGAAGACAGUCUAGUCAUUGCUUUUUGUCCUCUAAAGCAUAACACUUCCUUUCUCUCUCUCUCAUUUCUUUCAAGUCUGGGGAAUUUCAGAGUUUCUCAGGGCUUCUUUGAAGAAUGCCAGCGUGCCCACCUUGAGUUUCCUCACUCCUUUGUUCUAAGCAUUGCACGGUGCCAUGGGGCAGGGUUUGAAGACAUUACUAUGAGAAAAGGUUCCCCCAGCACCAAAGAGUGGGAAUCCCUGUUCACCUCCACUCCCACCUCCACUCCUGAACAAUUCAAACACUAUAAAGCAGCAAAAAUGGCUGCUUCCUUUACUUAAUGAAAUGUUCCAGAGAAGAUAACUUUUAUGCAGAAUGUAAGUUAUCGUUAAAGGCAAGGGGCAAAUUUUUAAAAAAGUGUGCAUGUUUAACUACAUGGCAAUGUGGAAGAUACUGGGGGGAAGCCCGCCUAGGUGUAGCUCCAAAGCUACACCACUGGGAGACCUUGGCUGUAGGUGGGCCACCUCUAAAGACGCUAGAUCAGGCGUUGGACACAGUCCUUUGCAGGAUUCAGAAAGGCUCCUGGCACCGCCCUAGGAAGUGCCUGCUCACCAUACUUUAUUACAUGGUUAGCUCGUUACAACGGAGAGACGCGCGGCUGUCCAGCAGGGCUGAGGACAACUGGUACGAUGAUUAGUCUGUAUAACGAUCAUCUAUGUAUUAAAAACUUUACAUGUUGCUUCAUUUCAGGAUGUAACAUUUACCCUAAAAACGGUUCCAUCUUUGAUUCCGAACACGUCCAUGUGUUAGAGUCAUUCUUGGGAAUUUCAAUUAUGGGAAGGUGCUGGUGACUGCUUAAUGCUGAUUAGACAGGUGCUUUAAAAAUCACUCUAUUAAUUGUCUAUAUUUUGAAAUGCAAUCUUCAGGCUCAAGGGUCAUAUGAUAAAUGGUAUAAUUUUUGGGAGGUGGGUGUCCAUGGUUCAAAGUACAAAGUAUGUAUUUUAAAUAGGAUAAAACUAUGAUGGUUCUAAAAGGGAAAAUGAUCAUGUAGGUAGAAAAAAUCCAACAAGACAACUGUCAAUGGAAUUCCUAUUAGAAAGCAGCACACACUAAUCCAAUACCGGAAAUCUCAUCUGGUCUGAGUCUACUUCCAUCUCCGGAAGCACAGGCGGCUGACCUUCAAUGGGAUCAGCUGUCACUAGGACGUUUUCAUGCAGAACCAGCAACAGAAUUAGAGACGCCAGAGUUAACUUGUAAUGAGGAUACUUUCCAGCCAGGCAUCUCUUAGUCACGGAGCUAUGCAUCUAGCAAGAGUCAAAGCAUGGCCUGGGAGAACCACGCACAGUGUGGGCUCAAGUCAGGGACACUGCAUGAUGGAGGAGGGCUUUCUGAUUCCUCUGUGGCUGGAUUCACCAGGAAUUAUGUCCUUAAUCCACCUUUCCCACACACAGCAAGGGAGGGAGUUGGUGAGCUGAGAUCACAGCUACUCGCCAGCCAGCCAGGCUGACACAGUAAGUGGCCUCAGUGGUCUCUGGAUCUGCAAAUUCAGCUGCUACCUGAUUGGAAAUGCUAGCUCUGUAAGCCCUCCUAAGAUCAUACCAAGACUUGGGCCUUUUCCAGACUUAGCAAAAAAAAAAAAAAAA